CCUACGGGGGGCAGCAGUGGGGAAUAUUGGACAAUGGGCGAAAGCCUGAUCCAGCCAUGCCGCGUGUGUGAAGAAGGCCUUCGGGUUGUAAAGCACUUUCAGUGGGGAAGAAAGCCUUGGGGCUAAUACCCUCGAGGAAGGACAUCACCCACAGAAGAAGCACCGGCUAACUCCGUGCCAGCAGCCGCGGUGAUACGGAGGGUGCGAGCGUUAAUCGGAAUUACUGGGCGUAAAGCGCGCGUAGGCGGUCUGAUAAGCCGGUUGUGAAAGCCCCGGGCUCAACCUGGGAACGGCAUCCGGAACUGUCAGGCUAGAGUGCAGGAGAGGAAGGUAGAAUUCCCGGUGUAGCGGUGAAAUGCGUAGAGAUCGGGAGGAAUACCAGUGGCGAAGGCGGCCUUCUGGACUGACACUGACGCUGAGGUGCGAAAGCGUGGGUAGCAAACAGGAUUAGAUACCCUUGUAGUC
rnacentral:rRNA from 1 species